UUUAUUUUGUAACUAUUUUUAUGUAUUUUUAUUGUUUUAUUUUAAAAAUAUAAUCUUAUUUGGAAAUUCAAUUUUGUUUCCUUUUUUAAAAGAUAUCAAAUAUCAAAUACUUAAACACUAUUGGUUGGUGAACCUACAGGUUCACUCUAGGGGGUGAACCCAAGAAUUUCUCUUUUAUCACAUAAACUUGAUGUGAUAUGAAUAAUCAUACCAUAACAGAAUAACCGACAAAACAUAGAGCCUUAUGAAAAGAUCGAGAAAUUCUAGCUAAAAAAUGAGCAGUCUCAUUAUGUUCCCGAAGAAUAUAGGAUAUCCUGAAAUCAUUAAAUCUUCUCUUCAGUUUUUGUAUCUCGUUUAGGUCUGUCAAUAAAGUCGGCCAUGCCUGGGACUCAUUUAUCAUCGGUAUCAGGUCUUUACAAUCAGUUCCAAAAUGCUGACAUGUUGAAUGUUGCAACAUGCUGUCCAUUUCUCAGUUUAGCGCUUCCAGCUCCGAAUGCAAAGCAGAUUCUCUUCAUCUUUGAUUUCUUAACCCAUAAGUUAUGUGUGUCCAGAGCUAUCUUCCAAACCCAUCGACAUCCACUGAAGAUUGAUGUAGAGGUCCAAUAAUCAUCUAUCAAGCAUAUAUUCUCUAAGCUUAAGACCUCAGAUGUUACUAAUGAUGUAUGAUUCACCCCAUCAGUUGGUUCCUUUGCUGUGAACCAUGCUUGACAUUCUCCUUAUGCAUAUCUGAUAAGCUCAAGUGGGUCUCUACCAAUCCCUCUGAAUAUUUAUCAUUACCUUCUUUCUAUAGAUACCAAAUUAUCUAUGGAUAAAGAUCUCUGUCCAUUUACGAGUCUUCAAUACUUUUCUUCCUCCAAAAAAAGAUAAUCCAUGUUAGUGUUUAUGAUGGGCACAUGGGACAUAUUUUGAUGAGAGGGUGUAAAGGCAAGAGUGUCGAGACCAUGCUUACGUGGAUAUUUAAAGAUAGCAUGAUUUACAGACUCAUCAAGUUCUAUACAUCUUAGACAAAUAUCAUCACCUCGCAUAUGGAGACGAUUCAAAUUCCUUGUCACUACUACAUGUCAUCUGAUUAAAUAAAAUGACAGAUUAUUUGAAAAGCAUUUACCUUCCAAGAAAAGGCUUUGAGUUUUGUGAUACUUGGUUUUGUGUAGAGAACAUCUUCUUUAGCCUUGAGUAUAUGUCUGGCAACCCAUUUCCUGACUAAAAUGUAUACAGACUGUUAGGGAAAUUUAAUUCAGGAGCAAGAACAUUCAUGUUAGAGCAGGACGCCGAUCUCUUGGUUAUGGGUUCCAGCUUCUAGGUUCCGGUUUCCAGGUUCCGGCUUCUAGGUCAGAUGAUUCCUCCUGUCUCCUGGUAAAGAAGAAAACUUACAGACUCAAAAAUGUCUAGCACAUCGAACACUCUCGCCCUGCUAAAAGAAGGCCAAUCGACAGCCACUCCCCGCGCAAAUUACAAACCAAAGCACAGAGGCAAUCAGAUAAAGGCUCUAAUCUUAAAAUAUCUGCAAUCAACAUCCAUCUAGGGUUGAAAUUUCCUAUCGAAACUUCAUUCACUUCAAAUAAAAAAAAAUACUUUUUUCUCCAUUCAUCUCUACGCGGAAUCUCUAUGAGGAUUUUACAGUUCGUGUGAGGAUAGAAAUAGAAACUACCCUCGAACCCAAGAUUCCUCUUGGUAGAAAAAAUAUUGAUCACAUUAAAAACAAUCAACAGAACCUCCCCCCCCUCCCCACUUCUCGGGAAAGCACCAGCAGGCCCAUGAUGUGGCGUACCAAAUUUGGGGUUAUUUGGAAAAACAUCUAUCCUCAAUCAGCAUACGACUUCGGCAAAAGUGACAUAAUGGGAAACCAGCCGGCAAUUUUUGAAGAAAAUCGAGUGUUUGCACAGUAAAUGCCUAAUCAUGUCACUUAAUGGGUUAGGGGAAACUAUUAAAGCAAGAUUUAUCACACAAAUCUAGCCUAGUAAAUGUCUAAUCAAACAGAUUGAAAUGGCAAUGAAGACAUGAUCAUUCAGCGAAACCCAUCUAUUCUUGCCUAAAGGCUUACCUCGCAGCUUGAGACAACGAGCUCCGAGUCUACAAACAGCCAAGAUCUCUAAAGCAAGGAAAGACACGUGCGCUCUAGAUACACAAAGUAGUUGGAACAAACUGAGAAAUAUAAAAUCACAAGACCAAGAUCAUUAUUGAUAGACUCUCGAUCUUUUCGACUUACUCACCCAAUAUCUAAAGUACUUCCUUCUGAAUUGUUUUAUCUUUUGUUUUGUUCUUUGUAUUUAUCAUGUUCCUUGUCAUUAAUAUUAAGUCACGUUCUUGCAAGCUA